rnacentral:lncRNA from 1 species
CCCGGCCGUUAUUGUCGCGGCCGGGGAGAACAACGGCAGUAUCGAGUUCGUCCGGGGGUUCGAGUGAGGCGGAUUUCUCGACGUGGGUUCGCUUGGCGGAUGAAGGGCCAUCGUCAGGGGAGGAUUCGAGACCGACAGCGGCGGUGGAGGGGUCUCUGUCGGAGCGUUUUGUUUUCAUUGGAGGGAUUUGUGGGUGGAGGAGUAGAGAGUGAAGCAUGUCGGAAGAAAUGGAGAUUGAAAGGAGGAGGAUGAAGAAAAGACUGUGAGAGAGAUUCGAAAGGCGGAGAACUUUCGAGCAAAAGGUGACAAGAUCUUUGGCUGAGGGAGUCAGUAGAUAACAAUAGAAGUGUGUGCAGAAGGGGAAAAGGGGAGGGAAGAAGAAAGGUUAGAUAGGAAAGG